UCUUCCAGACCAAUAAGGAAGCUCCUGAAUGGUACAGGAAAGUCAAGUUCCCGCCUGGCUGACUCGUGUUCUCUCUCUCUCUUCCAGACCAAUAAGGAAGCUCCUGAAUGAUACAGGAAAGUCAAGUUCCCGCCUGGCUGACUCAUGUUCUCUCUCUCUCUUCCAGACCAAUAAGGAAGCUCCUGAAUGGUACAGGAAAGUCAAGUUCCCGCCUGGCUGACUCGUGUUCUCUCUCUCUCUUCCAGACCAAUAAGGAAGCUCCUGAAUGGUACAGGAAAGUCAAGUUCCCGCCUGGCUGACUCGUGUUCUCUCUCUCUCUUCCAGACCAAUAAGGAAGCUCCUGAAUGACCAAUAAGGAAGCUCCUGAAUGGUACAGGAAAGUCAAGUUCCUGCCUGAAUGACCAAUGGCCUUACAGGUGGUGCAGAUGGGAUGUGUGUGGACACUCCAUACUGGUUUUAUUUACACUACUGUAUUGGUAAUAGUUGAUAUGUGUAUGUUGUGCUGUACUGUUGUAAUCGGUUGACUUGCUAUGUUUUAUAUUAAAAAUCUGUCAAAACUA